AUCACUUCUCAGCCUUUUGGCUAAGAUCAAGUGUAGUAUCUGUUCUUAUCAGUUUAAUAUCUAAAAAAAUUUUUUUUUCUUUGAAAAAGAUCUUUUUAAAAAAGAUACAAAGCAACCCAAUUGUUAUGAGUUGAUGUACUUUCCUUGCUAGGAUUGAUUGGUGAUCAAGGAAAAUGAUUAUUUCCUUGUACCCAUUUCUG
rnacentral:snRNA from 1 species